UGAGGUCUCAUGUCUGCUUAUGCGGUGGCUCGCUGCUCAGAACAGGAUGGCAGAGAUGAGCACCACCAUCAAAAACUCAAGGACCAGUGCUGUGGGUCCAGUCAUCUGUUUCAUGGAAUUCACCAGUCUGGUAUCUUCAAAAUCCAGAAGGAUGAUGGCAGAUGGCAGGAAG
rnacentral:misc_RNA from 1 species